UACGGGGGGGGCAAGCGUUGUUCGGAAUUACUGGGCGUAAAGGGCUCGUAGGUGGCCAACUAAGUCAGACGUGAAAUCCCUCGGCUUAACCGGGGAACUGCGUCUGAUACUGGAUGGCUUGAGUUUGGGAGAGGGACGCGGAAUUCCAGGUGUAGCGGUGAAAUGCGUAGAUAUCUGGAGGAACACCGGUGGCGAAGGCGGCGUCCUGGACCAACACUGACGCUGAGGCGCGAAAGCUAGGGUAGCAAACGGG
rnacentral:rRNA from 1 species